GUCCCUGUAGUGCAAUGGAUAGCACGUUGAACUUCGAAUACAAAGGUCGUGGGUUCGAAUCCCAUCUGGGAUG
rnacentral:tRNA from 1 species